UUCGCAAUGCCCGAAAGGGUGACAAUGCGACGCCGCGUGAGCGAUGAAGGCCUUCGGGUUGUAAAGCUCUGUCAGCUCGGAUGAAAGCAAGAGAGUUAAUAACUCUUUUGUCUGACGGUACGAACGGAGGAAGCCACGGCUAACUCCGUGCCAGCAGCCGCGGUAAUACGGAGGUGGCAAGCGUUGUUCGGAUUUACUGGGUGUAAAGGUCAUGUAGGCGUCUUAUUAAGUCGGGUGUGAAAUCCCUUGGCUCAACCAAGGAACUGCACUCGAUACUGGUAAGAUUGAGUACGGAAGGGGAAAGCGGAAUUCCGGAAGUAAGGGUGAAAUCUGUAGAUAUCCGGAAGAACACCAUUAGCGAAGGCGGCUUUCUGGUCCGAUACUGACGCUGAAAUGAGAAAGCUAGGGGAGCAAACAGGAUUAGAUACCCCGGUAGUCCUAGCUGUAAACGAUGGGCACUAAGUAGAGGGGUUUU
rnacentral:rRNA from 1 species